rnacentral:rRNA from 1 species
CAGAGAUGCAGGGUUCCUUCGGGACGGAGAGACAGGUGCUGCAUGGUUGUCGUCAGCUCGUGUCGUGAGAUGUUGGGUUAAGUCCCGCAACGAGCGCAACCCCUAUCCCGUGUUACCAGCGAGUAAGGUCGGGGACUCACGGGAGACUGCCGGUGACAAACCGGAGGAAGGUGGGGAUGACGUCAAAUCCUCAUGGCCCUUAUGUCCGGGGCUACACACGUGCUACAAUGGCCGGCACAAUGGGAAGCCAGCCGGUGACGGCGAGCGAAUCCAGAAAGCCGGUCCCAGUUCGGAUUGGAGGCUGCAACUCGCCUCCAUGAAGGCGGAAUUGCUAGUAAUCGCGGAUCAGAAUGCCGCGGUGAAUCCGUUCCCGGGCCUUGUACACACCGCCCGUCACAUCACGAAAGCCGG